rnacentral:rRNA from 1 species
UACGUAGGCAGCAAGCGUUGUUCGGAGUUACUGGGCGUAAAGGGUGCGUAGGCGGCUUUUUAAGUUUGGUGUGAAAUCUCCCGGCUCAACUGGGAGGGUGCGCCGAAUACUGAGAGGCUAGAGUGCGGGAGAGGAGAGUGGAAUUCCUGGUGUAGCGGUGAAAUGCGUAGAUAUCAGGAGGAACACCGGUGGUGUAAACGGCUUUCUGGACCGUAACUGACGCUGAUGCACGAAAGCGUGGGUAGCAAACAGG